rnacentral:misc_RNA from 1 species
UGUCCGCGGUAAUCGCACCCAUACGCGCAUCCCACGUUUUCGUCAUCGGCCCUACCACUGUCCGCCUCAUAGCAGCAGCAGAAGCCCUGCCACUCCACCGAUGCCGCCACACGCCGCAGCACUGCCGCCGCCGCCGCGACCGGACCCAGUCACUUUGGACCAGGUCUUCGCCCAGCUCACCGCCGUGGAUGUGGCGUACGACGCCAAGGCGUAUCACCUCGUCGCUCUCAACACGGUGGCCUUCCACCCGUCCGUGAAGCUCUUCCUCUUCGAAGAACCAGCGGCAGCAGCAGCUUCGUCGUCGUCGACGGAGAGCCCAGAUGCGCGCUCCACAUCCUCGUCGCCACCGGCGGCAGCGGUGCUCAACAAGCUACGCCGCGAGAAGCUGCUCAAGAGCGUCGCCUUCAUGCUGGCGCAGCGGAACAACGCCGUGUGUCACGAAUGCAGGUGGGAGACGGUGUCGCUGCUCGGGGAGCUGUGCCGUAUGGAGAGUGCGCACAGCGGGGUGCCAACGUCGGCGCUGGGGCAACUGGAGGCGAAGCUUAACAACUACGCCAAGGAGAACCUUGAGUACCUGGCGCAGCUGCCAUGGUUUCUGCCUGUCAUCGACAGUAUCAUCAAGGCCGGUGGCGGUACCUUAGACGACGAUGCCAAUGGCGACGCGAGCGUAGCUGCAGCGGCGGCGAAGAAAGCGCGACAGCAAGGCGAGAGCAGCGCCUCCGCUGCUGCCUCCUCCUCGCGCUCAGCUCUCAAGGAGAAGCUGAUGGCGGCGCGUGAGGCCGGCCGCAACAGUCGCGGCGGCGCAGACAGCGAUAACGGCAACGGGCCGGAGGCCGAAGAGGAGGACGAGGACGUCGUGAUCGCGCUGCUCGACAUUCGCCGUGCCCUUCCCACGUGUCACCGUGUCAGCGGCAGCGGCAGAAGCACCGACAGCGCAGAUGUGGUGUUCGAGUGGUCAGCCGCGAAUGUCGAGCAGGCGCGUGACCUCAUGUUCGUCGACGCCUCGACCUCGAUGUUGCACCUUAUCCCCAGCGUGGCCCGCGGCUGCAGCGAUGUCUGUGCCCAAUGCCAGAAGCGGGUACCGGCGGCAUCCACAUCCGCCGCCGCCCCGUUGCUCCGCUGCAGCAGCUGCAAGGCUGUGUAUUACUGCUCCGCCGAGUGCCAGAAGACGCACUGGACGACGGUUCAUCGAACGCCGUGCCGGGCGUACAAGGAGCGAUGCGACAGAAUCCUCGAGCAGUAUUACAGCACCAGCACGGCCAGUGGAAAGAAGAAGGGCCUCAAGACGAGCGAGGUCGUCAUCCUCGAGGUGCCGCUGGAGCCGAGCCUGUUCUUCGAGACUCGCCGCUACCUCUACGACCACCGCGAUGAGUCCUUCGCGCACGUCGACUACUCGGACUACUUUAUGAAGUACACCGUGCGGGGGUCGUAGCGAAGCUCAGGCAUUAGUGCAUGGACGUGUUUGGUGGCCAUUCAUGAGCGCCCCACAGCGUUGUUCUACUCUCGUGUAAUACGACUAAUAUGUGUGUGUGUGUGUGUGUUUGUGGCAGCAGCAGCUGAAUGGCAACAGGAGGAGCAGUGAGGGCGAGAAGCGCGGAGAGAAUCUGCACGUGUGCGUGCGGAGUGGACUUGGGUGGGGAGGUAGAGCGGGGGUCUGGGUCGGUGGGUCGCACCCUCCUCCCUACCCACCCCCUCCCCUCCUCAGCCACCGCGAAGGUGCGCUGCCCCACGUUUGCUGUGCCGCGCAACACAGGCACGCCUUCCAGCGCACCCUUUGGAUGCAGAGCAUGCACUAAGAUGUAAAAGGGUGGAUGCGUGGUGUAUAUGUGGUGCAGUGGCGCGCUCAGCAUCGAAGGAGCGAAGCGCACGCC